GCAGCGCGGCCGCCGCCGAAGGGACAGCCCCGGGGCGGUGUAAUGACCACCCGUUCCGCGGCCGGCGGCCCGCGGCCUGGCCGGGCCCCUCAUGAGGGGCAGCGGCGGGGCGGCGUGAGCAGCCCCGGCCGGGCCGAGAGGGAAGAGCCGUGUUCGCUCCCGGGCGGGCGUUGCCGAAGCCCGUCAGGGGGACGGACGGGUCUCCCCGCUCGACCUGAGGAGGAAACUACAGAAACUACAGUAAUACUCCUUGGGGGGGAAAACAAGUGCUGUCAUUGAAAAUACGGAAAACGCUGUUGGUUAGCCAGCUCAGGAAUCUCACCAGCAUGCAGGAUGCUGCCCUCUUCAAUGACGAGUGUUGGGAGAUUUCUUACAAGGGUCAGCAGAAAGGAAGCCAUAAGUCAUCCUAUUGUAAUGGAAAUACCAAAUAAUUUCCAGAAAACUUUGUAGAUGCGGCAAGGAUUAUUGGAGUCAUAAAUAGUAACAUACGAGCCUGUGACAAUGAAAGCUGAAAGAGGAAAAAUUAAUGAUUGGUGCGUCAGAAAUGUGCAUCAGGCAAGCGAACCCUGCAUUCCUGACAGAGAACGCUGUUCUCCUGUGCUGUCAGCUAGCAGAGCUGCUUCUACUUCUAACUCUCUGAGAGGAGCACUAGCUUCAGAAUUUGAAAGAUCAUACUGGACUGUCAAACUUCUUUGAUUUUAACAAUAUUUCAGGCACCGUGUGGGUUCACGGUAGGGUAACAUACAACUCACCACUUUGUCGUCUGUGGUGUGAUCUCACAACUGUUUUCUGUGUUUUCAAACCUGAGGGGGCACAUUCAGAACUCAGUUACAUGGCAGUAAAUACUGAGUAACUGCCCUGAAGUUAAUGGAAUUACUCCCGUCAGAACAAUGCCCACUUCCCUCACACGUCCUGUGGAAGGCAGGGGGCAACUGGUUUUCAUUUGAGAGAACGAAGAAAUUAUUCCUUUUGUUUUCCUUGGGGCUGUAGCUCAUAGUUUGGAAAGCUUGGAGUGGACCUGCUCCUUCCUUACCAUUUUGCAAAGACGAAGGGGAGCACAGCCCACCACUCAUUGCUACGCUGCGUGGAACGCCGCCAACGUCAUUUUCAGGGGUUCAUAGUCCAUGUUAUGUAGGUAUUUAGUAAAAGCUAGACAAACUCACCAGAUA